rnacentral:rRNA from 1 species
GGGUUGUGAGGUUAAGCGACUAAGCGUACACGGUGGAUGCCCUGGCAGUCAGAGGCGAUGAAGGACGUGCUAAUCUGCGAAAAGCGUCGGUAAGGUGAUAUGAACCGUUAUAACCGGCGAUGUCCGAAUGGGGAAACCCAGUGUGAUUCGUCACACUAUCGUUAACUGAAUACAUAGGUUAACGAGGCGAACCGGGGGAACUGAAACAUCUAAGUACCCCGAGGAAAAGAAAUCAACCGAGAUUCCCCCAGUAGCGGCGAGCGAACGGGGAGCAGCCCAGAGUCUGAAUCAGCUUGUGUGUUAGUGGAACGGUCUGGAAAGUCCGACGGUACAGGGUGAUAGUCCCGUACACCAAAAUGCACAGGUUGUGAACUCGAAGAGUAGGGCGGGACACGUGGUAUCCUGUCUGAAUAUGGGGGGACCAUCCUCCAAGGCUAAAUACUCCUGACUGACCGAUAGUGAACCAGUACCGUGAGGGAAAGGCGAAAAGAACCCCGGCGAGGGGAGUGAAAAAGAACCUGAAACCGUGUACGUACAAGCAGUGGGAGCACCUUCGGGUGUGACUGCGUACCUUUUGUAUAAUGGGUCAGCGACUUAUAUUCUGUAGCAAGGUUAACCGUAUAGGGGAGCCGCAGGGAAACCGAGUCUUAACUGGGCGUUAAGUUGCAGGGUAUAGACCCGAAACCCGGUGAUCUAGCCAUGGGCAGGUUGAAGGUUGGGUAACACUAACUGGAGGACCGAACCGACUAAUGUUGAAAAAUUAGCGGAUGACUUGUGGCUGGGGGUGAAAGGCCAAUCAAACCGGGAGAUAGCUGGUUCUCCCCGAAAGCUAUUUAGGUAGCGCCUCGUGAAUUCAUCUUCGGGGGUAGAGCACUGUUUCGGCUAGGGGGUCAUCCCGACUUACCAACCCGAUGCAAACUACGAAUACCGAAGAAUGUUAUCACGGGAGACACACGGCGGGUGCUAACGUCCGUCGUGAAGAGGGAAACAACCCAGACCGCCAGCUAAGGUCCCAAAGUCAUGGUUAAGUGGGAAACGAUGUGGGAAGGCACAGACAGCCAGGAUGUUGGCUUAGAAGCAGCCAUCAUUUAAAGAAAGCGUAAUAGCUCACUGGUCGAGUCGGCCUGCGCGGAAGAUGUAACGGGGCUAAACCAUGCACCGAAGCUGCGGCAGCGACACUAUGUGUUGUUGGGUAGGGGAGCGUUCUGUAAGCCUGCGAAGGUGUGCUGUGAGGCAUGCUGGAGGUAUCAGAAGUGCGAAUGCUGACAUAAGUAACGAUAAAGCGGGUGAAAAGCCCGCUCGCCGGAAGACCAAGGGUUCCUGUCCAACGUUAAUCGGGGCAGGGUGAGUCGACCCCUAAGGCGAGGCCGAAAGGCGUAGUCGAUGGGAAACAGGUUAAUAUUCCUGUACUUGGUGUUACUGCGAAGGGGGGACGGAGAAGGCUAUGUUAGCCGGGCGACGGUUGUCCCGGUUUAAGCAUGUAGGCUGGUUAUCCAGGCAAAUCCGGAUAAUCAAGGCUGAGGUGUGAUGACGAGGCACUACGGUGCUGAAGUAACAAAUGCCCUGCUUCCAGGAAAAGCCUCUAAGCAUCAGGUAACAUCAAAUCGUACCCCAAACCGACACAGGUGGUCAGGUAGAGAAUACCAAGGCGCUUGAGAGAACUCGGGUGAAGGAACUAGGCAAAAUGGUGCCGUAACUUCGGGAGAAGGCACGCUGGUGUGUAGGUGAAGUCCCUGCGGAUGGAGCUGAGACCAGUCGAAGAUACCAGCUGGCUGCAACUGUUUAUUAAAAACACAGCACUGUGCAAACAUGAAAGUGGACGUAUACGGUGUGACGCCUGCCCGGUGCCGGAAGGUUAAUUGAUGGGGUUAUCCGUAAGGAGAAGCUCUUGAUCGAAGCCCCGGUAAACGGCGGCCGUAACUAUAACGGUCCUAAGGUAGCGAAAUUCCUUGUCGGGUAAGUUCCGACCUGCACGAAUGGCGUAAUGAUGGCCAGGCUGUCUCCACCCGAGACUCAGUGAAAUUGAACUCGCUGUGAAGAUGCAGUGUACCCGCGGCAAGACGGAAAGACCCCGUGAACCUUUACUAUAGCUUGACACUGAACAUUGAGCCUUGAUGUGUAGGAUAGGUGGGAGGCUUUGAAGCGUGGACGCCAGUCUGCGUGGAGCCAACCUUGAAAUACCACCCUUUAAUGUUUGAUGUUCUAACGUUGGCCCCUUACCGGGGUUGCGGACAGUGUCUGGUGGGUAGUUUGACUGGGGCGGUCUCCUCCCAAAGCGUAACGGAGGAGCACGAAGGUUAGCUAAUCCUGGUCGGACAUCAGGAGGUUAGUGCAAUGGCAUAAGCUAGCUUGACUGCGAGCGUGACGGCGCGAGCAGGUGCGAAAGCAGGUCAUAGUGAUCCGGUGGUUCUGAAUGGAAGGGCCAUCGCUCAACGGAUAAAAGGUACUCCGGGGAUAACAGGCUGAUACCGCCCAAGAGUUCAUAUCGACGGCGGUGUUUGGCACCUCGAUGUCGGCUCAUCACAUCCUGGGGCUGAAGUAGGUCCCAAGGGUAUGGCUGUUCGCCAUUUAAAGUGGUACGCGAGCUGGGUUUAGAACGUCGUGAGACAGUUCGGUCCCUAUCUGCCGUGGGCGCUGGAGAAUUGAGGGGGGCUGCUCCUAGUACGAGAGGACCGGAGUGGACGCAUCACUGGUGUUCGGGUUGUCAUGCCAAUGGCACUGCCCGGUAGCUAAAUGCGGAAGAGAUAAGUGCUGAAAGCAUCUAAGCACGAAACUUGCCCCGAGAUGAGUUCUCCCUGAGACUUUAAGUCUCCUGAAGGAACGUUGAAGACGACGACGUUGAUAGGCCGGGUGUGUAAGCGCAGCGAUGCGUUGAGCUAACCGGUACUAAUGAACCGUGAGGCUUAACCUUACAACGCCGAAG